UCUACCUACCAAACUGACGAAGGUCCAAGCAGAGAUUGGCUCCCUCCACUAGUGUGGUGUUUCGGCAGAUGGUCCAUAGGUUGAAGUACAUGUACACUGGCAGUGAAGUGAAAGCUGUGACGCCAAGCCAGGCCAACAUGAAGAGAAAUCUUAUCAUGAAGCUGUAUGACUACCAUCAUUGAAGGAAAUGUUACUUCACUAAAGAAUGCUUUAACUCUCUGCUGGUGAGUGCAAACAUCUGUGUGAUAUGAAAAUCAACCUCCAUUACAUGCUGAGUGCAGAGAAAUGACAUACCCAGGCGCUCACACAGCGGCCACAGGUGGUGAUUUUGAAGUCCCCAUAGAGAUCUUUGAUGGCCCCAGUUGUGAAGAAGCCUUCCACCAUCAGCAAGAUGCCAUAGACAAAGAAAGCAGCUGCGAUGCCAUAGAUCACAUACUUAAAGAUGUCAAUCCUGGAGACAAAAAAGAAAACCCCCAAACAGCACGAUUUAUUUCAAAGAUUUUCAAAAACUGAUCCUCAUGUGUUCAUGGUUCUUUUGAAAUGAAAUCAGAAGAGAUGCAUAAAAUCAAGCAUCCAAAAUCUCUGCAUGGAUCAAGGAGAAGCUACUGGUAGUUGAUACCUCAUGGGAGAGGGGAAGUCACUUUUCUUCAGGGAUAUGAUCCCUGAGAGGUUGACCAGGCUCCAGUAUACGGUCCUACACCCAUGCACAUCCAGGCAGCACUAAAUGGACUCAGUGAAUAUUAAAUUAAAAAAACAGAGAGGGAGAGUGCCUGAAGUUCAGAGGAAAGAAGUAGAGGAAUAUGAGGGAGGGCAGAGGGAUGGACUGAAUUGGAUCCAAACACACUGUAUUAUUGGAUGAUAAAAUUAAAGUAAAAUAACAUUGGUAUUCAUAAAGGUAGGUGGAUUAUAAACAGUUGUGUUUUAUA